rnacentral:misc_RNA from 1 species
GAUGAAGAACGUAGCGAAAUGCGAUAAGUAGUGUGAAUUGCAGAAUUCAGUGAAUCAUCGAAUCUUUGAACGCACAUUGCGCCCCUUGGUAUUCCGAGGGGCAUGCCUGUUCGAGCGUCAUUACACCACUCAAGCACUGCUUGGUAUUGGGCAUCGUCCGUCGAAAGGCGGGCGUGCCUCGAAGACCUCGGCGGGGUUUCUCCAACUUCGGGCGUAGUAGAGUUAAAUCGAACGUCUUAUAAGCUUGGUGGGACUCCAUUGCCGUUAAACCUUUUAUUUUCUAGGUUGACCUCGGAUCAGGUAGGGAUACCCGCUGAACUUAAGCAUAUCAAUAAGCGGAGGA